rnacentral:rRNA from 1 species
AUACGGAGGGUGCGAGCGUUAAUCGGAUUUACUGGGCGUAAAGCGCGCGUAGGCGGCUAAUUAAGUCAAAUGUGAAAUCCCCGAGCUUAACUUGGGAAUUGCAUUCGAUACUGGUUAGCUAGAGUGUGGGAGAGGAUGGUAGAAUUCCAGGUGUAGCGGUGAAAUGCGUAGAGAUCUGGAGGAAUACCGAUGGCGAAGGCAGCCAUCUGGCCUAACACUGACGCUGAGGUGCGAAAGCAUGGGGAGCAAACAGGAUUAGAAACCCCUGUAGUCC